rnacentral:rRNA from 1 species
AUUGAACGCUGGCGGCAGGCCUAACACAUGCAAGUCGAACGGUAACAGGAAGAAGCUUGCUUCUUUGCUGACGAGUGGCGGACGGGUGAGUAAUGUCUGGGAAACUGCCUGAUGGAGGGGGAUAACUACUGGAAACGGUAGCUAAUACCGCAUAACGUCGCAAGACCAAAGAGGGGGACCUUCGGGCCUCUUGCCAUCGGAUGUGCCCAGAUGGGAUUAGCUAGUAGGUGGGGUAACGGCUCACCUAGGCGACGACCCCUAGCUGGUCUGAGAGGAUGACCAGCCACACUGGAACUGAGACACGGUCCAGACUCCUACGGGAGGCAGCAGUGGGGAAUAUUGCACAAUGGGCGCAAGCCUGAUGCAGCCAUGCCGCGUGUAUGAAGAAGGCCUCGGUGUAAGUACUUACUAGCGGGGAGGAAGGGAGUAAAGGUUAAA